CUGAAGUAGAGCCAGCUGACGCGGUAAUGCAGUCGGUGGUAUCGUUGUGUGGCAUUACGUGGCGUAAAGCGACAGUAGGCGCGGUGGUAAGUGUCGAGUGAAGUCCCACGGCUCCCCCGUGGAACUGCUCGGCAUACUACGGUACUCGAGUGUGGUAGGGGAGAGCGGAACUCCUGGUGGAGCGGUGAAAUGCGUAGAUAUCAGGAGGAACACCGGUGGCGAAGGCGGCUCUCUGGUCCACAACUGACGCUGAGGCACGAAAGCGUGGGGAGCAAACAGGAUUAGAUACCCUAGUAGUC
rnacentral:rRNA from 1 species